rnacentral:rRNA from 1 species
GUACACUCCUACGGGAGGCAGCAGUGGGGAAUAUUGCACAAUGGGCGCAAGCCUGAUGCAGCCAUGCCGCGUGUAUGAAGAAGGCCUUCGGGUUGUAAAGUACUUUCAGCGGGGAGGAAGGCAAUACGGUUAAUAACCGUGUUGAUUGACGUUACCCGCAGAAGAAGCACCGGCUAACUCCGUGCCAGCAGCCGCGGUAAUACGGAGGGUGCAAGCGUUAAUCGGAAUUACUGGGCGUAAAGCGCACGCAGGCGGUCUGUCAAGUCGGAUGUGAAAUCCCCGGGCUCAACCUGGGAACUGCAUUCGAAACUGGCAGGCUUGAGUCUUGUAGAGGGGGGUAGAAUUCCAGGUGUAGCGGUGAAAUGCGUAGAGAUCUGGAGGAAUACCGGUGGCGAAGGCGGCCCCCUGGACAAAGACUGACGCUCAGGUGCGAAAGCGUGGGGAGCAAACAGGAUUAGAAACCCCUGUAGUCCAUG